GGAAUAUUCCACAAUGGGCGAAAGCCUGAUGGAGCGACGCCGCGUGAGUGAAGAAGGGCUUCGGCUCGUAAAGCUCUUUUCUGAAGGACGAAUGGCUAUUUGGAAUAGCAGGGACGGUACUUUGGGAAUAAGCCACGGCUAACUACGUGCCAGCAGCCGCGGUAAUACGUAGGUGGCAAGCGUUAUCCGGAUUUAUUGGGCGUAAAGCGAGCGCAGGCGGUUUGAUAAGUCUGAUGUGAAAGCCUUUGGCUUAACCAAAGAAGUGCAUCGGAAACUGUCAGACUUGAGUGCAGAAGAGGACAGUGGAACUCCAUGUGUAGCGGUGGAAUGCGUAGAUAUAUGGAAGAACACCAGUGGCGAAGGCGGCUGUCUGGUCUGCAACUGACGCUGAGGCUCGAAAGCAUGGGUAGCGAACA
rnacentral:rRNA from 1 species